rfam:Schistosoma rodhaini strain Burundi genome assembly, scaffold: SROB_scaffold0005223
AUCCAGUUGACGAGUCCCAAAUAGGAUGAAACGCGCAUCCUGGAU